GUUGGAACUGAGAAUCCACCUGAUAAACACGAUUCAGUGACUACAUCUCUGGAAUAUACGUGUUUCAUGGGAAAGUUGACAUGUGUUUUCCUAACCUAAUCUGUUCCAUCGCGCCUAUGUGGUCUUGUGAUACCAGACGAUGGGGGAUCUCAGCACCUACCAACAGUCUGGAGAUUUCUAAAUGCAAAUUUUAGCAACAAAAGCCAGAAGAAAGUCCUCAGUCUCUGUUGAGUGAGGCGUUUAGAGACUGGCUUGUUAGUCUACCCCUAGGAUACAUUCUCUGCAUUGGGAUGUCUGUGGUUCCAAACUGCUGCUGCUAUUACUUUUGUUUUCUGUAGGUGGCAAAGGUUGGCACUGUGCAGAACUGGUCUGACAAUGCCUGAACCCCGCCCCCCCCCCUUGUAGAGAAUCUGCAGCCUGCUUAAUAAAACCAGGUGGACAGUGUUACCAUGACACCAGCCAAUAGCAGACCUUGGUGGAGACUCUGUAGGUGAUGUAGGU